rnacentral:rRNA from 1 species
AUUGAACGCUGGCGGCAUGCCUUACACAUGCAAGUCGAACGGUAACAGGUCUUCGGAUGCUGACGAGUGGCGAACGGGUGAGUAAUACAUCGGAACGUGCCCGAUCGUGGGGGCUAACUACGCGAAAGAGUAGCUAAUACCGCAUACGAUCUACGGAUGAAAGCGGGGGAGCUUCGGACGUCGUGCGGACGGAGCGGCCGAUGGAAGAUUAAGUAGUUGGUGGGAUAAAAGCUUACCAAGCCGAGGAUCUGUAGCUGGUCCGAGAGGACGACCAGCCACACUGGGACUGAGAGACGGCCCAGACUCCUACGGGAGGCAGCAGUGGGGAAUUUUGGACAAUGGGCGAAAGCCUGAUCCAGCAAUGCCGCGUGCAGGAUGAAGGCCUUCGGGUUGUAAACUGCUUUUGUACGGAACGAAAAGACUCCUUCUAAUACAGGGGGUCCAUGACGGUACCGUAAGAAUAAGCACCGGCUAACUACGUGCCAGCAGCCGCCGUAA